UAAGCAAAAGAACCGUUCCGUAAAAGGUGUACACACAUUGAUUGCUCCUGUUCCGGUGCUCUGUACAGGUAGGGCUUCCUUUUCCAAUACCCUCCCCCUCUUUCGGCCAGAAGUGGAGUGCUGAGUCGUUUCGUAAUCCUCCAACAAAAUACAGUGUCGAGUGUGUGUGUUGGGAGCGGAGGGGACUUUAGGGAGGUUUGCUUCAAAGGCAGUUUGUUGUUUGAUUUCAUUCAAAGUUUCAUCGAUUCCGGAAAGCAAAGCAGAAAGGCUGCUCUGCGAGCCGGUCAAUCAGGAUCCCUUGUUCCAGCUGGACUACCGUGGCUCCGUGACCAUGAAGGGCAAGCCGGAACCGAUGGAGUGCUGGUUCCUGACCCGGAAAACUCCCAGCAGCAACGGACAGCCUCCACCGCUCGGGAGUCCGGCCAUUUCCGUAACGCCGGACAAGCAGUGAACUGCAAACUAAUAUGCAGUGUA